GCCCCUGCAGUGUGGAUCCACCCGGUGGCUGAACACCGAGAAGGAACGGUACUUGGAGUGUCCAGACAACAGAAACACGCUGCUGUGUUAUGAAUAUGGAGAAGCCAAAAUGAGGAGGAACUCAGGCCUGCCAACAGCUACAUGAGUGAGCCUGGAAGCAGAUUCUCCAGCCUCAGCAGAGCUCUGAGAUAAACUGCCACCUCACAAGAGACCUUGAACCAGAGGCAAGCCUCUACUGAUUGCAAGAAAGAGAAAACCUACUCAAAUUAGCUUAAGCAAAAUAGGAAAUUCAUUUAAAAGAGUACAAAGGGCAGUUAGACUUCAUCAAAGACUGGAACUAGAAUUCAAAAGCCAUCAGAAUCCAAGGUUUCUACCUCCCCAUUCUCUCUGUCUCCAGGGUUCAUGGU